rnacentral:rRNA from 1 species
UACGGAGGGUGCAAGCGUUAUCCGGAUUUACUGGGCGUAAAGAGCGCGCAGGCGGUCGGAUAAGUCGAAUGUGAAAGCCCCCGGCUCAACUGGGGAGGGUCAUUCGAUACUGUUCGACUCGAAGGCAGGAGAGGGAAGUGGAAUUCCCGGUGUAGUGGUGAAAUGCGUAGAUAUCGGGAGGAACAUCAGUUGCGAAGGCGGCUCUCUGGACCAGCACUGACACUGAGGCACGAAAGCGUGGGGAGCAAACAGG